GAAUAAUACUCUAAAGAGGAAAAGCAUGUCCUAAGAAGAAGGAAUUGUAUAUGCAAAAGCUCAGAGGUCAAGAAACCAAGGCCCAUGCUGUGUACACAGGUCUCUAAGACCAAAGAGUAGGUGUGAGGAAUGAGGUGGAGAAGCUGGAAAGGUUAAGAGUGAGCAUUUUCUAAUCCAGUAUUGCUCUGCCAGAGCCACUUUAAUCAAAUGCAAAUUACAUGCAUUGUAUCACCUAAUUCUCACAAGAGCUCCAUGAGGCGGGCAUUGUUACCCUGAUUUUCCGCCUGAUUUUCCAGACGGGGGAAAAAGAACUGCAUAGAGUUUGAGGAAAAUCAAAAGGCACAGAGUCAGUAGGAAGGAGAGCUGGAGUUUGAACAUGUCUGUCUGACACCAAAGUUCUCACUCUUUCUUCUUUGUCAUCACUUACCCCAGUUCUUUUGACUUCUGGUAUAUUUCAUAGCUUUGUCUUUUUGUUUUUCAUUUUUGAAAGUUUUAUUGAAGUAUAGUUGAUUUAUAACAUUGGGAUCAUUUCUGCUAGACAACAAAGCGAUUCAGUUAUACAUGUACACACAUCUGUUCUCUUUCAGAUUCUCUUCCCACGUAGAUGAUCACAGCGUAUUGGGUAGAGUUCCCUAUGCUAUACAGCAGGUCCCUAUUGACCAAUCAUUCCAUAUCCCUCAGUGUGCACAUGCCAAUCCAAAACCCCCAGUCCAUCUCUCCCCUGCCCCCAACCUGUCCCUGUUGGUAACCAUAAGUUUGUCUUUCAAUGGAAUAAACACAGCUUCUGAAUAUCAGGGGUUGGGGCUGGAGAGAUGCUUACCAAUCAAGUCAAGGUACUUUGCCAUUAAAAUCAAUACAUUUGCAUUUUCUUCAUUUGGUCCACAAAUACCUCUGAGUAUCACCUUUGUGUUAGGUACUGAGACAGGUGAUGGUGCUAUAAGAGGUCAAUAAGGCCAGCCACAGUCCUUGCCUUCAGGGUGCUAAGACUAAUCUAUUCCUUAAACCUUCUUGAGGAGGCUUCCUGGCUUCAGGUGAGCAUGAAUGCUGCUGUGCUUUCAUACACACCCAAGGAACUCCAUCACUGCUGCUGCUAAGGAAGUAGCACCUGCAUUAUUUUCAAACAAUGUCCAUGAAUUAUAUCAGAGAUUAAUUGAUCAGCUAAAUGGGAUAAAGUGGACAGUAGACUGGGAAUAAAUCAAUGAAGAGAACAGUGAGCUGUGGGAUACAGCUGGGAUCAAUUGUGUUACAGCUCACUCUGCCAGGCUCCAGAUUGUAAAGCAGCCUGCUUGGAAGGGGUCAUGAACAGGGCAAAUCACUGACUGAACGACCUACAAAAUUUUCAUAGCCUUAUUUAUACCCUAUAUCUCACUAAAGUGAGCCACAUUUCUAAAAGGUAUCAAUUCUGCAGGAUCACAAACUAGGAAUGCUUUCUUCUAAUUAGGACAAAGCUGAUUAUCACUCAACAGACUCUUUGAAGAUAUAUAUGAAAUAUAUGGAAAUAUGGAAGAACUUAGGAAAAAAAGAAUACACAUUACAAAUGGGGCUCUAAGAAUCCAAUGGAAAUAAAAGAGUUUGGCUUCAAGUUCAAAUCUUUAAAGGUACUAUUAGAAAAUCUAAUCACUAUUUUAUAAAACUUGUUAAAAAAUUAACGGAGUUAUGAUAAAAAAUUUACAAUAAAAAAUAAGAAAGGGUUGUUGGGAAAUGAAAAAUUUAAUUUCUUCUAAUUGGGAAAUUUUCAAUGUCAAAACAGCAAUUUUGGGGGGUUCCUGUUGAGGCUCAGUGGGUUAAGAAUCCAACUAGUAUCCGCAAGGAUACAGGUUCAUUCCUUGGCAUAAUACAGUGGGUUAAGGAUCCAGCGUUGCCAUGAGCUGUGGUGUAGGUUGCAGAUGUGGGUUGGAUCUGGUGUUGCUUUGGCUGUGGUCUAGGCCAGCAGCUACAGCUCCAGUUUGAACCAUAGCCUGAGAACUUCCAGAUGCUAGAGGUGCAGCCCUGAAAAGAAAAAUAAAAUAAAAUAAAAUAAAAAAGCAUCUUUUGUGAAUAUAAAAAUAUAUCAGUCCCUUUUUUCCCCAACAAGAGCUAAAUGGGCUCUGAGAGAUUAAAGGCUGGCCAUUAGCCCGGUUAGCCUGAGUGAGGAAGGAAACUGAGCAGCCUGUCCCAUAACUGGAGGGUGAAUGAUGCUUGUUGUCCCCUCAGGGUUUGCAGAGGCAAGUGGUAGCCAGGGAAGCCCCCUUGGGAAGGUGAACACCCACCACACUUCAGAAGCUACUCGUGGGAAGGGGCUUCUUCUGCCCUGAAAAUGACUUGCUAGGCAGGAGCAGGAAAAAGCCAUUAUUCCACCAUGGAAAAAGAUAAUUUUUCCCCUAACUUCAGAGAUCAUCAAAAAUCACUUCAUUUUUCUUGCAUUUAUACCCUGGGCUUGUAAAACAGUUACAGGAUCUCAAAAAGACUGUAUUAUAGAUGGAAGUUGCAACCAGCCAGCCAGAAGUGAGGAUGAUUUAAAAAUAUUUUUUUUUUAAAUGUUUUGUUUAGUCUUUUUAGGGCAACACCCAUGGUGUAUGGAAGAUCCCAGGCUAGGGGUCGAAUCAGCCAUAGCCACCAGCCUAUACCACAGCCACAGCAAUGCCAGAUCUGAACUGCAUCUGUGACCUACACCACAGCUUGUGGCAAUGCUGGAUCCUUAACCCACUGAGGGAAGUCAGGGAUUGAACCCACAUCCUUCUGGACACAAGUUGAGUUCUUAACCCUCUGAGCCACAAUGGGAACUCCAAAGAUUUAAAUUUUAAAAGGCUCCUGAAUUCAAAACUUAAGAAAAUAUGAAAUGUUUCCAAGAGAUCUUUUGUGUUUUGUGUUAGUCAUGUAUAUUCGGUGAGUCACAUUUUAAAUACAGCAUGCCAAUUACUGAAAUAUUCUUAAUUCUUUUAAAUUUGCAUGAAAUUUCCUCUUAUCAACGCAUACCAAAAGAAAAAAAUACAAACAGGUGUAACUGGUAAAAGACAACCUUGAACAGCUAGGCCAGGUUAAUCCUUUGGCAUGGAUUAAAUUAUAAAAAGUUUAAAUGACAACUAAUCUCAGAGCCUUACAUAUACAUUAGGGAUUUUAUUUGACUAAGCUUAAUGAUUACUUGAGUGUUAACCAGGAUAAUUUAAGAGGCAAAUAAACCCAUGCCAAAUCCCAUUAAAGCACGUGGAAACUACAGAAGACUAACCUGAAAUGGAGAAUUAGCUAAAAAAUGAAAACAACAACAAAAACACCCUAUGAAAUACACUCAUUACAAAUUUACAAACAUGAGAUGGUUCAGGACAGAUUAAAAAAAAAAAAUCUAGGGGAGUUCCUGUUGUGGCUCAGUGGGUUAAGAACCUGACAUAGUCUUAGUGAGGACGCAGGUUUGAUUCCUGCCCUUGCUCUGUGGGUUAAGGAUCCAGCAUUGCCGCAAGCUGUGGUGUAGGUCGCAGAUGAGGCUGAGAUAUGGUGUUGCUGUGACAUGUCUGUGGCCAGCAGCUGCAGCUCCAAUUGAGCCCCUGGCCAGGAAACUUUCAAAUGCCAUGGGUGUGGCCAUAAAAAGGAAAAAAUAUCUAUGGGGGAAAAUGGAGAUUUAAUACACAGAAAGUAGGAGUAAAAUAGUUUCUUGAGAACCAGAACAGUAUGGUUUGCAUCUCAUAUUCCAGUAAGUACUGGCUGUGUCUUAGGCACAGCAGCUGUUUGCUACUUUUGGGUGGUAGUUAAUCCUAGUCUAAAGGUCUUGUUGGAGUUGAUAAAAUGACUUUGCUGAUACUUACCCAGCCAGUAUGCAAUUGAGAUUUUCCUGACUACUAGGUGUUUUGCUCUUUUCAUGAGAUAAGUCUUAUGCCUUAAACAGAGACCUGGUUUUUAUUACUAAGAAGUAAGGCACCGGGUUCUACCAAGACAAGUUCAUCUAUGAUAUUCCCUUUGCUCCUUCUCAUGGAGAAAAGACAAAGAGGCAAAGACCCUCAUGGUGAUUUAUAACUGUUUUCCAGUUUCACAAGUAUGUAAUAUAUUUGUCUCUUCAAGCAGAAUUUCUUACCCUUCCCUUAUUCUUCAUAUGCCCUCUGGAGUUCUUUGUGAUUUUUAAACACAGUGGGAAGCAACAUGAGGUACUGGUUAAGAGGUUAAGACUGCCUGGAGACCAAUUUCAGUUUCAUUAUCUAUUAACCAACUGACCUUAAGCAAGUUCCUUAACCUUUCUGUGACUCAGUAUCUUUCUUUGUCUCUGGUUGAAACAGCACUAUCUCCAGAUUAUCUGGUGAAUUAUUCACAAACCUCUUAGGACAAUGCCUGGCACAUGGUAAGCAUUGUAUAUGUGUUAAGCUAAAAUGCUUGUGGAAUGACAAAAUUUUUUUUUUUGCACUUACACUAAUUAAUAUUAUUCAGAAACUGAUGAGGUUUCCCUAACCAAGACAUUGUCUGGGAAAUUGCUAAACUUUGAACAACUCCAUCUCUUAUUAUUUGAGAAAAGCCAAUAGAAAAUAGCCAUGACACAUACACUUACAUUGUAAGGGGCUCCGUAAUUAUUUAUUACUUGCUGAAAAAUUCUGGUUGGUGAAGAGAGGAACAAAACAGUCAUGUUAACAUCUAAACCUCAUUAAAGUUUCAUCUUCUUUUAAAGUCCAGGAAGACAAAUGAGUUACCAAAGGAAUUUCCUAUAAGGCUUAUCCCAAUGUUUGAACAUAACUGCUACAAUAAAUUAAAUAGGAUUUCCUAAAUGGCCAAAAGCUCAGUGGUUGGGGGGUCAGGGGAGCAGACAGAGCCAAGUUAUGAGGGUUGGGUGUGAAUUUCAAUGUCUAAGGUGAAGUUGAUAUACUCUAGCAAUUAAACUCUUAUCUGACAGUAUCUUACAAUGUUUUUGAAGUCAACAUUGAAAAAUAAAAUGAUUAGUAAUUUAUUAAAGAGAUUAGUGAGCAAAUGAUAAAUGAGCUUGG
rnacentral:lncRNA from 1 species